rnacentral:sRNA from 1 species
AAACCCGAUGAAUAGUGUAUGGAUAUCUAUAUUUUUUAACUUAUGGAUAAUGGACAGGGUACAACUAUAAAGAAACCCGACCUGUGGGUAC